rnacentral:lncRNA from 1 species
CACUGAACUAUCGAGUAGUUAUCAACACGCGCCUACCAGGCGUUCACAAUAUCUGCAGACGACACUGGAGGGGGUGGAGCACUAAGCGGUGCAUCAAGGACACAAGCCUUUUGCGAAGCCAUGAGGAUAAUCCUCAUAUUAUGCACCCAGUCUGCAUAGUUACUUCCAUCGUCUUUCAACUUAGCUUUCGCUAGGAACACAAUAAAAUUCAGGGGAGCUACUGCGCGAGCCAUUGAUCUACAACAUAAUUUGCAAAGACAUCUUUAGACUAUGUUCAUGAUAAUGAGUUUAAUUAAUCAUAUUACUAAAGAACUCCCACUCAAAUCAACAUCCCUCAGGUUGUCUAAGUGUGACAUCAUCCAAAUCCACCAACCCAAGUCUGAUCAUCACGUGAGAUGAGGUGGUUUCAAUGGUGACCAUCUCCAUGUUGAUCAUAUCUACUAUAUGACUCAUGUUUGACCUUUUGGUCUCCUGUGUUCCAAGGCCAUGUCUAUACAUGCUAGGAUCGUCAAGUUUAACCCAAUUAUUUUGCAUGUGCAAAACUGGCUUACACCCGUUGUAUGUGAACGAAGAGUCCAUCACACCCGUUCAUCACGAGGUGCUUCAAAACGACGAACUUUCACAACGGUGCAUACUUGGGGAGAACACAAUUUUACCUUGAAAUUUUAGUGAGGAAUCAUUUUAUAGUGCUACCGCCGUCCUAAGCAAAAAAAUAUGCAUAAAAGAUAAACAUCACAUGCAAAUCAUAUAAGUGACAUGAUAUGUCCAUCAUCAUCUUGUGCUUUUGAUCUCCAUCUCCAAAGCACCGGCAUGAUCUUCAUCGUCACUGGCAUGACACCAUGAUCUCCAUCAUUGUGUCGUCAUGUGGUUGUCACACCAACUAUUGCUUCUACAACUAUGGCUAACUCAUAGCG